UACGUAGGUGGCAAGCGUUGUCCGGAUUUAUUGGGUUAAAGGGUGCGUAGGCGGUUCUAUAAGUCAGUGGUGAAAUCCGGCAGCUCAACUGUCGAUGUGCCAUUGAUACUGCAGAACUUGAGUACAGACGAGGUAGGCGGAAUUGACGGUGUAGCGGUGAAAUGCUUAGAUAUCGUCAAGAACACCGAUAGCGAAGGCAGCUUACUAGACUGUAACUGACGCUGAUGCACGAAAGUGUGGGAGCAAACAGG
rnacentral:rRNA from 1 species